UACGAAGGGGGCUAGCGUUGUUCGGAAUCACUGGGCGUAAAGGGCGCGUAGGCGGCCGUUCAAGUCGGGGGUGAAAGCCUGUGGCUCAACCACAGAAUUGCCUUCGAUAUUGUACGGCUCGAGACCGGAAGAGGUCAGUGGAACUGCGAGUGUAGAGGUGAAAUUCGUAGAUAUUCGCAAGAACACCAGUGGCGAAGGCGGCUGACUGGUCCGGUUCUGACGCUGAGGCGCGAAAGCGUGGGGAGCAAACAGGAUUAGAUACCCUGGUAGUCCACGCUGUAAACGAUGAAUGCCAGCCGUUGGCGAGCUUGCUCGUCAGUGGCGCAGCUAACGCUUUAAGCAUUCCGCCUGGGGAGUACGGUCGCAAGAUUAAAACUCAAAGGAAUUGACGG
rnacentral:rRNA from 1 species